rnacentral:tRNA from 1 species
AGCAGAGUGGCCGAGUAGGUGAGGGGCUGUAAACCUUUUUACGGGGAAAUUUUUUUCUCCUCUGUUA